rnacentral:rRNA from 1 species
AUUGAACGCUGGCGGCAUGCCUUACACAUGCAAGUCGAACGGUAACAGGUUAAGCUGACGAGUGGCGAACGGGUGAGUAAUGUAUCGGAACGUGCCCAGUCGUGGGGGAUAACUGCUCGAAAGAGCAGCUAAUACCGCAUACGACCUGAGGGUGAAAGCGGGGGAUCGCAAGACCGCGCGCGAUUGGAGCGGCCGAUAUCAGAUUAGGUAGUUGGUGGGGUAAAGGCCUACCAAGACUACGAUCUGUAGCUGGUCUGAGAGGACGACCAGCCACACUGGGACUGAGACACGGCCCAGACUCCUACGGGAGGCAGCAGUGGGGGAUAUUGGACAAUGGGCGGAAGCCUGAUCCAGCAACGCCGCGUGAGGGAUGACGGCCUUCGGGUUGUAAACCUCUUUCGUCAUCGACGAAGCCGCACCGUGGGUGUGGUGACGGUAGGUGGGGAAGAAGCACCGGCCAACUACGUGCCAGCAGCCGCGGUAAGAC